rnacentral:lncRNA from 1 species
CUGGUUGCAGCAAAAAUUAAAUUAAUUUCAUAAAUUAGAAUUUAUAAUACAUCAUGUUAUCAUAUUUCUAUUCCGUUACAUACAUGUCAUUAUUACUAUAUAUAUAUAUUGUGCACAAACAAGUACUAACUUAUCAAUGAAAUGCUAUAUACUAACGUUAACGAGGCCGGGAUAAGGUACCGGUACUUCAUGUAUCUCUAACAAAUGUAAUAUUAAAAUAAAACAUUAUAAUUUAAAAAAAAAAAAA